UCAAAAUAAAUGAAGAUCGCAGGGUCAGACCACAGGACGGGAGACCGGAACAAAACCUGCAGAUGCAAAUGAUGCAUGAAGUGUUUAUGCAUAUGCUUGUUUUUAUUUCAAAGGAACUCGAGGGUUUUAUUUGCAAACUUUGAAAUAUUUAGCAUUUUGAUCAUAUACGAGAAUAUCUCAUCAGAUAUAUCAGGUGAAAAAAUUUUCCCGGUUUUUUCAUGUUUUGAAAAUUUUUGCAGAUAAACUCCUUUGAGUUCCUUGAAAAUUUUCUUUUUUUCUGAUGAUAUGGAUGCAGAUGAAUGCAUGAAUGCAUGAAUGCAACAAACACACUCAAGGAUCAAGCAAAGCACGCCAAACAAAGGUCGUGGGAAAGCUCAUUGUAUCCCUAAUAUCAAUCAUCCAUUUUGGUGGAUUUAGGUUUUCACCUUAUC
rnacentral:lncRNA from 1 species